AUAGUAUAUGCAAUUAUACCGUGAAACUGCGAAUGGCUCAUUAAAUCAGUUAUCGUUUAUUUGAUAAUACCUUACUACUUGGAUAACCGUGGUAAUUCUAGAGCUAAUACAUGCUGAAAAUCCCGACUUCGGAAGGGAUGUGUUUAUUAGAUAAAAAACCAAUGCCCUUCGGGGCUUUUUGGUGAUUCAUGAUAACUUUACGGAUCGCAUAGCCUUGCGCUGGCGACGGUUCAUUCAAAUUUCUGCCCUAUCAACUUUCGAUGGUAAGGUAUUGGCUUACCAUGGUUUCAACGGGUAACGGGGAAUUAGGGUUCGAUUCCGGAGAGGGAGCCUGAGAAACGGCUACCACAUCCAAGGAAGGCAGCAGGCGCGCAAAUUACCCAAUCCCGACACGGGGAGGUAGUGACAAUAAAUACUGAUACAGGGCUCUUUUGGGUCUUGUAAUUGGAAUGAGUACAAUUUAAACCUCUUAACGAGGAACAAUUGGAGGGCAAGUCUGGUGCCAGCAGCCGCGGUAAUUCCAGCUCCAAUAGCGUAUAUUAAAGUUGUUGCAGUUAAAAAGCUCGUAGUUGAAACUUGGGCCUGGCUGGCGGGUCCGCCUCACCGCGUGCACUCGUCCGGCCGGGCCUUCCUUCUGAAGAACCUCAUGCCCUUCACUGGGCGUGCUGGGGAAUCAGGACUUUUACUUUGAAAAAAUUAGAGUGUUCAAAGCAGGCCUUUGCUCGAAUACGUUAGCAUGGAAUAAUAAAAUAGGGCGUGCGUUUCUAUUUUGUUGGUUUCUAGAGACGCCGCAAUGAUUAACAGGAACAGUCGGGGGCAUCAGUAUUCAGUUGUCAGAGGUGAAAUUCUUGGAUUUACUGAAGACUAACUACUGCGAAAGCAUUUGCCAAGGAUGUUUUCAUUAAUCAGUGAACGAAAGUUAGGGGAUCGAGACGAUCAGAUACCGUCGUAGUCUUAACCGUAAACUAUGCCGACUAGGGAUCGGGCGAUGUUCUUUUUUCUGAC
rnacentral:rRNA from 1 species